UACAGAGGGUGCAAGCGUUAAUCGGAAUUACUGGGCGUAAAGCGCGCGUAGGUGGUUUGUUAAGUUGGAUGUGAAAUCCCCGGGCUCAACCUGGGAACUGCGUCCGAUACUGGCAGGCUUGAAUCCGGGAGAGGGAUGUGGAAUUCCAGGUGUAGCGGUGAAAUGCGUAGAUAUCUGGAGGAACACCGGUGGCGAAGGCGGCAUCCUGGACCGGUAUUGACGCCUGAGGCGCGAAAGCCAGGGGAGCAAACGGG
rnacentral:rRNA from 1 species